GAAAUGCGAUACGUAGUGUGAAUUGCAGAAUUCCGUGAACCAUCGAAUCUUUGAACGCAAAUUGCGCCCAAGGCUUCGGCCGAGGGCAUGUCUGCCUCAGCGUCGGCUUACCCCCUCGCACUCCCUUCCCUUUGUGGUUGGGAGUGCGGACCUGGCCCUCUCGGCUCCGAACCGAUCUAUCGGUGCGUCCGGGUUGGCUGAAGUGUAGAGGCUUGAGCAUGGACCCCGUUUGCAGGGCAAUGACUUGGUAGGUAGCACCCGCUACAGCGCCUGUCGUUGCCCGAGGGGACUUUGCUGGCGGCCCAGCAGGAAUUCGGUGCGUGCGGUCCCCCGCCGCCCGAAAGCUUCACAAUUUCGACCUGAGCUCAGGCAAGACUACCCGCUGAACUUAA
rnacentral:misc_RNA from 1 species